GAAGAGGAGACAGAGUGGUUGAAUGUACCGCACUCGAAAUGCGGCAUACCUGCAAAGGUAUCGUGGGUUCAAAUCCCACCCUCUCCGCCA
rnacentral:tRNA from 1 species